CGUGGUCUCCACUUGCCACAGCCUCUUCCUCCCGGGUUUGGGUGGUUCUCCUGCCUCAGCCUCCCGAGUGGCUGGGAUUGCAGGCAUGAGUCACCAUUCCUGGCUAAUUUUGUAUUUCUUUUUUUUUUUUUUUUUUUUUUUUUUUUUUGGUAGAGACGAGGUUUCUCCAUGUUGGUCAGGCUGGUCUCAAACUGCCGACCUCAGGUGAUCCGCCCGCCUCGGCCUCCCAGGGUGCUUGGAUUGCAGGCGUGAGCCACCAUGCCCUGCUAAUUUUUUGUUGUUGUUGUUAGAGACGGGGUUUCUCCAUGUUGGUCAGGCUGGUCUCAAACUCCCGACUUCAGGUGAUCCGCCCGCCUCGGCCUCCCGGGGUGCUGUGAUUGCAGGCGUGAGCCACCGCGC
rnacentral:lncRNA from 10 species